rnacentral:tRNA from 1 species
UCCAUGUAAGUUCAGUGAAUGUGGGUUUUGUACACCCUUAGUGUUUUGGGCCUGUAAGCCUGUUGGGU